rnacentral:rRNA from 1 species
UACGUAGGGGGCAAGCGUUGUCCGGAUUUAUUGGGCGUAAAGAGCGUGUAGGCGGCUUGGUAGGUCAGCUGUGAAAACUCGAGGCUCAACCUCGAGAUGUCGGCGGAAACCACUUGGCUAGAGUCCGGAAGAGGAGAGUGGAAUUCCCGGUGUAGCGGUGAAAUGCGCAGAUAUCGGGAAGAACACCUAUGGCGAAGGCAGCUCUCUGGGACGGUACUGACGCUGAGACGCGAAAGCGUGGGGAGCGAACAGG